rnacentral:lncRNA from 1 species
CUCUUUGCCCCGCCCCGCACGCGCACACAUAGUUUUUCCCUAUUGUGUCCAGAAUAAACUUCAUUAACCCUAGCAUCUUGGUCGAGGCCCUUCAUUAACUAGUCCAGGGAGCCUUAUCUCCCAGUCUUGGCCUCCAUACACUCUGGCUUGAGCUACAGGAAAACACUCAAAAUCAGAGCUACCCACAUUUAUAAAAAAAAGACUCUAUUACUACUUCAUCCCUUACUUAUUGAAACAUGCCUUGAAUGAAAAAGCCCUGGUUAUAUCCCCUUUCCUCUCAGCUUUCCCAACCAAGCAGGCAGCGCACAACCAUAACCCAGGCAGGACCGGAAGAGGAAGGGCUUCGCGCGGACCCGGGACGGCCAUCUUGGCUGAGGUGGCCGGAAGUGGCCGGAGCGGGCGCGGACUGAGGCUGCGCAGCGGCUGCCGCUCUAGGGCGCUCGCGGCGUUAUGGCAGCAGUUCCCGUGUAGUGGGCUAGAGUCCCGCAGCUUCAGAGGCCCCUCUGCCGUCGCACCCAGUUCUCCUCCCGCCGUCCAACCCUUCCGUCCGGGUUCGCGCAGCGGCUCGCACACCGCUCAGCCCUUGUGCGCGCUGUUCUGCCUGCCGGAGCGCGGGGGUCUCCCGGACUCUCGGGCCGAGAGGGAGCAGGAUGGCAGCUGUGACGGUGAGACCCAGGCCCUGGCCGUCUCUCAGGAGGAGGCCUCGAGCCCCCUCCUGCAGGAGAGCCCCAAGGAGGCCCUCGGGACGGUGAGGGAGGAGAAGGCUGCGUAGCCCGCCCUCGCCCGGGAAAGGCGCCAAAGCCCUGACGCGGAGCGGGCACACUGCUUCCCGAAUCGGACGGUGGCCGAGUUGGUGCAGUUUCUGCUGGUGGAGAACAGGAUGAGGUGUCCCAUCACGCACUCUGAGAUGGUGAAAUACGUUGUUGGAGACUGGAAGGAUCUGUUCCCGGAGAUCAUCUCAAGGGCCGCAGAGCAUGUGCGGUAUGCUUUUGGUUUCGAGCUGAAACAGCUCGACCGCAAGCACCACUCUUAAAUCCUGAUCAACAAACUUAAAACCUCUGGAGGAGGAGGAGGAUCUAGGAGGAGAUGGCCCCAGAUUGGGUCUCUUAGUGAUGAUCUUGGGUCUUAUCUACAUGAAAGAAUUGGGGAAUAUAUAAAUAAACCAGAAGUUACAAUACAGUGAGUUGAAGACUACAAAGGACGCCUAACCCAGCUGUGAUCUGUCAGGAUUGCUUGAGAUUACCUUUGAGUUGGGUCAUCUGUCACCUGACUCAUCUUUGUUCAGACCCCACUCUCUGGAGACACAAGGGCCAUGGAGUCAAGAUAAUUAUGACAAGAUGCUGGCCUGCAGGAGGGUAAAAAAGAGGCUAAAAGAAAGUUGGGGAAUCAUCUGUGAACACUGAUUCCAG